rnacentral:lncRNA from 1 species
AAGCUUUUAUGAACAUCCUCUGAGUUAAGUUAUCUUUCUAAAAGUCGAGUUAAGUUUUCAAGCUUAUUCAAAAGAAGAGAAAUCAUAUGAGGUUCCACGAGACAAUUGUAUGCUAUACGAAGAUGAUUAUGAGAUCAUGAGAAUAAGAGUACCUAUGAGCCAAGAUUGGCUAAGUUCUUGUUAUGGUGCGAUACGAAGGCGAUUAUGAGAUCAUGAGAAUAAGAGUACCUAUGAGCCAACAUUGGCUAAGUUCUUGUUAUGGCCUAUUAUGUGCAUUCAAAUUUCAUAUCAUACAUGGCAUAUUAUGCAUGGACUUCGAGCUAUAAUUGGAGGUAAGGGGCCUAUUUGCCCGAAAAAAAGUAUAUAUUGUAUAGAUGGCCACAUGUUGACAAUAUGAUACAGGUUGUUGCUAGGGUCACCCGAAAAAGAACAAAAAAUCCGUUUGAGCUCAAGUUCUAAGCAUUCUCGUCCAAGUUCGUCGCUUGAGGUUCGAGUUCUCAGUCGAAGUUCCGUCAUCGGCGAGGUUUUUGAUAUGAGAUUAGUGAGUUUCCCCGCGUGGUUCGUCGUUUCUGUCGUCCAAAGUCCCGAUCUAAAAUUUUGACUUCUGAAAAGGUUCACUACUAAACUCUUAUUCAUCUUUCCAUUUUUUAAUUUGUUCUCUUAGUAUUUAGUUGUAAUAUUUUGUUUAUCCCUGUGUUUAUUCUCACUUUUAAAUGAGAAUGCCUUUGCCUUGGUUGAAACAGAGAUUAGCUUGUUAUUUGUGUUCACUUUUGGUGUCUUGAUGCAUUUCUUAAUUAUAUGUUGGGAAAAGGGUCAGAACUGUCUCUAACUUAUUGACUCCAGUUUAAAAAUGCCCUCUGUUAACCUAUUUUGAAAAAAAUGUCCCUACUGUUAAAAAUUUAGCAUAUUUGUGCCCCUAAGUCUAACAACUGACUGUACUUAUAUUUAAAACGGUAGGGGCAUUUUUUUCAAA